CCGUGCUAGGUGGGGUGCUAGGGGUGCCCUGAACCCGAAAUCCUCUAUAUGCGGGACUGAAUUCCCUGCCCGAGCGUGACGGCGGUCGGGUUUGCAUCGGGCACGUGGUGUUGACGGUUGGGUCCUGCGCGGCGGGGUCUCGUGAAUCGGGUCAGGUCCGGAAGGAAGCAGCCCUAAGCGAUACGCCCCGGGUGCCGCAGGAGCGCCUGGCUUGAGCCGGCGACCCGGAAAGCGACGGUCGUUGCUUACGCGAAGGCAGGGUGCACGG
rnacentral:SRP_RNA from 2 species